rnacentral:misc_RNA from 1 species
UCAAAACAGCGGACUUCGGUCCUUGCUGCUCCCUUGUCUUUUGCGCACCGUAUUGUUUCCUCGGCGGGCUUGCCUGCCGGUUGGACAUUAUCAAAACCUUUUUGUAGUUGCAAUCAGCGUCAGAAAAACAAUAAUUAUUA